UCUGAUUUGCCAAAGUGGUCUCAUGUCACCCCGUGUCUUCUGUUCCAUAGAUUGCCUUUUCAUUCAGUUGGUCGUUUGCUGUGCAGAAACAUUUUAAUUUGAGGUAGUCCCAUUUGUCUAUUUUUGUUUUUAUUACCUGUGCUUUUGUUGUUAUGUACAUGAAAUCAUUGCCAAGGGCAAUGUCAUGAAACUUUCUCUUCUGUUUACUUCUAGGAGUUUUACUGUUUCAAGUCUUACAUUUAAAUAAUCCAUUUUGAGUUGAUUUUUGGUAUAAGAUAGGGUCCAAUUUUAUU
rnacentral:lncRNA from 10 species